rnacentral:lncRNA from 1 species
CAGCUGAUUAUGAUGGAGGUCUUCAUCGUCAGCAUCCUCCAACACCUCUCAUACCUGCUAAUACCUCAUAAUGCUAGUUAUCUAGCAUUUUGAUUAAAGAUCUGUAUUGUUGGCUUUGUCAGUGAUCUUAAAAUGUAAACAAAGGACAUCUGGUUCAGCCUUGUAAGCCCAUCUUCGCAGGAAGCUGGACAGGACGACCACAGUUCAAAGCAUCCCAGAGCUAUAGUGAGCUGCAUACCAGAACAGUCAGUUUAGUGAGACCCUGAUUAACCAAAACAAAGCAAUAAUAAAAAGAAACCUGAAGGCCCAGCUCAGCAGUGG